rnacentral:tRNA from 1 species
AGCCGUGGCCCACUGGUUAGCACUCUGGACUUGUAACCGGAGGGUUGCAGGUUCAAGCCCGGCCGCGGCUG